UAAAAUAAGAUAUAUGAGAAGUUGGGAGGGGUGUCUCCUGGAGUUCCUCUGAAGACUUCAAUCAAGGUUUAAUUUAAUUUAAUUAUUAUUAUUAAUAAUUAAUAGCCUUCUUAUUGAAGUGUUUGGGGGAGCUCUUGGUGCCACUUCACCCUCUCCAUCGAAUUUUCUCUUACUAUAAUUAUCAUGAGACAUGAGCAUCUUGGCUUCAACAAUGUGGAGGUCGAAUCAGAUUGUCAACGUGUUAUUCAUAUCCUGCAGAAGAGAAACUUAUUCUUGGCUGAGUUUGGCCUAAUUUUUAAAGAUAUUUUUGCUAUUUGUAACCGUGUUAAUAUUUCUAAGUUUCUUUUUUGUAAUCGUUCUGCGAACUUUUUAGCUAACAAUUUUUUGAACUUGCAUUGUCUUUGGAUAUGGCAAGAGUGUGGUGGCCGGGUUUACUGGGUGUUCUUUGAUAAUUGGUGUUGAAAUCCCCUUAUAUUUUAAUUUUAUACCCUUAA